UACGUAGGGCGCUAGCGUUGUCCGGAAUUAUUGGGCGUAAAGAGCUCGUAGGCGGCUUGUCACGUCGGGUGUGAAAGCCCGGGGCUUAACCCCGGGUCUGCAUUCGAUACGGGCAGGCUAGAGUGUGGUAGGGGAGAUCGGAAUUCCUGGUGUAGCGGUGAAAUGCGCAGAUAUCAGGAGGAACACCGGUGGCGAAGGCGGAUCUCUGGGCCAUUACUGACGCUGAGGAGCGAAAGCGUGGGGAGCGAACAGG
rnacentral:rRNA from 1 species